UGGCAACGUGUUCUUAGUUCGCCUCGGC
rnacentral:sRNA from 1 species